GACGAACGCUGGCGGCUUUCUUCACACAUGCAAGUCGAACGGAAAGGCCCUGCUUUUGUGGUGUGCUCGAGUGGCGAACGGGUGAGUAACACGUGAGUAACCUGCCCUUGACUUUGGGAUAACUUCAGGAAACUGGGGCUAAUACCGGAUAGGAGCUCCUGCUGCAUGGUGGGGGUUGGAAAGUUUCGGCGGUUGGGGAUGGACUCGCGGCUUAUCAGCUUGUUGGUGGGGUAGUGGCUUACCAAGGCUUUGACGGGUAGCCGGCCUGAGAGGGUGACCGGCCACAUUGGGACUGAGAUACGGCCCAGACUCCUACGGGAGGCAGCAGUGGGGAAUAUUGCACAAUGGGCGGAAGCCUGAUGCAGCAACGCCGCGUGCGGGAUGACGGCAUUCGGGUUGUAAACCGCUUUCGCCUGUGACGAAGCGUGAGUGACGGUAAUGGGUAAAGAAGCACCGGCUAACUACGUG
rnacentral:rRNA from 1 species